rnacentral:rRNA from 1 species
CCUGGUUGAUUCUGCCAGUAGUCAUAUGCUUGUCUCAAAGAUUAAGCCAUGCAUGUCUAAGUAUAAGCAAUCUAUACGGUGAAACUGCGAAUGGCUCAUUAAAUCAGUUAUCGUUUAUUUGAUAGUACCUUACUACUUGGAUACCCGUGGUAAUUCUAGAGCUAAUACAUGCUAAAAACCUCGACUUCGGAAGGGGUGUAUUUAUUAGAUAAAAAACCAAUGCCCUUCGGGGCUCCUUGGUGAUUCAUAAUAACUUAUCGAAUCGCAUGGCCUUGCGCCGGCGAUGGUUCAUUCAAAUUUCUGCCCUAUCAACUUUCGAUGGUAGGAUAGUGGCCUACCAUGGUGGCAACGGGUAACGGGGAAUUAGGGUUCGAUUCCGGAGAGGGAGCCUGAGAAACGGCUACCACAUCCAAGGAAGGCAGCAGGCGCGCAAAUUACCCAAUCCCGAUACGGGGAGGUAGUGACAAUAAAUACUGAUACAGGGCUCUUUCGGGUCUUGUAAUUGGAAUGAGUACAAUCUAAAUCCCUUAACGAGGAACAAUUGGAGGGCAAGUCUGGUGCCAGCAGCCGCGGUAAUUCCAGCUCCAAUAGCGUAUAUUAAAGUUGUUGCAGUUAAAAAGCUCGUAGUUGAACCUUGGGUCUGGCUGGCCGGUCCGCCUCACCGCGUGCACUGGUCCGGCCGGACCUUUCCUCCUGGGAAGCCCCAUGGCCUUUACUGGCUGUGGGGGGAACCAGGACUUUUACUGUGAAAAAAUUAGAGUGUUCAAAGCAGGCCUUUGCUCGGAUACAUUAGCAUGGAAUAAUAGAAUAGGACGUGUGGUUCUAUUUUGUUGGUUUCUAGGACCGCCGUAAUGAUUAAUAGGGAUGGUCGGGGGCGUCAGUAUUCGGCUGUCAGAGGUGAAAUUCUUGGAUUUGCUGAAGACUAACUACUGCGAAAGCAUUCGCCAAGGAUGUUUUCAUUAAUCAGUGAACGAAAGUUAGGGGAUCGAAGACGAUCAGAUACCGUC